CUACGGGACGCUGCAGUCGAGAAUCUUCCGCAAUGGGCGAAAGCCUGACGGAGCAAUGCCGCGUGCAGGAUGAAGGCCUUCGGGUCGUAAACUGCUGUCACCGGGGAUGAAUAAUGACAGUACCCGGGGAGGAAGUCACGGCUAACUACGUGCCAGCAGCCGCGGUAAUACGUAGGUGACAAGCGUUGUUCGGAUUUAUUGGGCGUAAAGGGUCCGUAGGAUGUUGAUUAAGAUUGGUGUGAAAUCCCAAGGCUCAACCUUGGAACUGCAUUGAUUACUGAUGAACUAGAGUGUCGUAGAGGAAAGCGGAAUGCCAGGUGUAGCGGUGGAAUGCGUAGAUAUCUGGAAGAACACCGACAGCGAAGGCAGCUUUCUGGGCGAUAACUGACUCUGAGGAACGAAAGCAUGGGGAGCAAACAGGAUUAGAUACCCGUGUAGUC
rnacentral:rRNA from 1 species